rnacentral:miRNA from 1 species
UCUUGAGAUGAUGAUGAUGAUGAUGAUGAUCAUCAUCAUCAUCAUCAUACAUU